rnacentral:tRNA from 1 species
GGGGCUGUGUCUCAGUGGUAGAAGAGGCUUUGUUUGUUUUACAAGCAAAAGGUCCCAGGUUCAAUUCCCAGCAUUUCCA